rnacentral:rRNA from 1 species
ACGUGUGGUUCUAUUUUGUUGGUUAUGGGACCGCCGUAAUGAUUAAUAGGGACAGUCGGGGGCAUCAGUAUUCAAUUGUCAGAGGUGAAAUUCUUGGAUUUAUUGAAGACUAACUACUGCGAAAGCAUUUGCCAAGGAUGUUUUCAUCAAUCAGGAACGAAAGUUAGGGGAUCGAAGACGAUCAGAUACCGUCGUAGUCUUAACCAUAAACUAUGCCGACUAGGGAUCGGGCGAUGUUACUUUUUGACUCGCUCGGCACCUUACGAGAAAUCAAAGUUUGUGGGUUCCUGGGGGAGUAUGGUGGCAACGCUGAAACUUAAAGAAAUUGACGGAAGGGCACCACCAGGGGUGGAGCCUGCGGCUUAAUUUGACUCAACACGGGGAAACUCACCAGGUCCAGACACAAUGAGGAUUGACAGAUUGAGAGCUCUUUCUUGAUUUUGUGGGUGGUGGUGCAUGGCCGUUCUUAGUUGGUGGAGUGAUUUGUCUGCUUAUUUGCGAUAACGAACGAGACCUUAACCUGCUAAAUAGCCCGUGUUGCUUCUGCAGCACGCCGGCUUCUUAGAGGGACUAUCGGCUCAAGCCGAUGGAAGUUUGAGGCAAUAACGGGUCUGUGAUGCCCUUAGAUGUUCUGGGCCGCACGCGCGCGACACUGACAGGGCCAGCGAGUUCUCCCUUGUCCGAGAGGACCGGGUAAUCUUGUUAAACCCUGUCGUGC